GUGGUCGUAGAAGACGUAGAAAAUGAAAGUGGGCGAAUGCGCCACUUUCAUUUUGUGGACUCGUCUGAGAAGUUCUGUGCGCCGUCGUUGAAAGCGCCAGCGAGGCUUUGACGCUGCGGAGAUUCGCUCACUUCGCUGAGCAUACUCGUCAUCCGAGGCGUCAGUGACGAGUGGAGAAGUGUUAUCAGUGGUACCCAAGGCGGAAUCGUCGUACGCACACAACGGACGGCGCUACGAAAUGAUUCUUCCACCUCAAUGUAACAGUGGCUGCGGUGCUUGGCUGCUGACCCGAAUGUUGCGGCUUCGAUCCGGGCUGCAGUGGUCACAUUUAGAUGGACUCUAUAAAGGCAAAAUCGCUGAGGCUCGUGUACUGUGUAGUGUCAGCACACGUUAAGAAGCACCAGAUGACUGGAUAUAUGAACAGAACAACUUAGUAAGUAGUUACAGCGUAACUGUGGAAGCAAAGAACAAGAAGUAUUUUUUUGGGAGACUUACAAUUUACCUACACAAUCGUGAAAGUUUGUUGGCCUCCUGUGCAAAUAGGAGAUAUCACAUGUGUGUGUGGUCCCGAAGAGUCGUGCAUGUUAGCAUGGUGAGGCCUAGCGCCGUGAACAAGACCAUUCGCUUUGUCUUCGUCUGGGUCACCUUUCUUAGAAUGUCUCAUGUCAGGACAUGUCUUGCAUUGACGUGGCAGGAGUGUGUCAACACAGUACAAUGACGCAUUGAAAAAAAAAAUAAAAAGCAAUAGAA